rnacentral:rRNA from 1 species
UACAGAGGGGGCAAGCGUUAUUCGGAAUUAUUGGGCGUAAAGGGCGCGUAGGCGGCUUGGCAAGUGGAUGGUGAAAUCCCUCGGCUCAACCGAGGAACUGCGUCUGAUACUGGAAGGCUUGAAUCCGGGAGAGGGAUGUGGAAUUCCAGGUGUAGCGGUGAAAUGCGUAGAUAUCUGGAGGAACACCGGUGGCGAAGGCGGCAUCCUGGACCGGUAUUGACGCUGAGGCGCGAAAGCUAGGGGAGCAAACGGG